AGAGUUUGAUCAUGGCUCAGAACGUACGCUGGCGGCACGCCUAACACAUGCAAGUCGAACGAAGUAGCAAUACUUAGUGGCAGACGGGUGAGUAACAUGUAGGUAUCUGCCCUUUGGCCUGGAAUAACACGAGGAAACUUGUGCUAAUACCGGAUAAGUCUUUACGGAGAAAGCUUUAUGCACCAUUGGAUGAGCCUGCACUUGAUUAAUUUGUUGGUGGGGUAAUGGCCUACCAAGACUGUGAUCAAUAGCUGAUUUGAGAGGAUGAUCAGCCACAUUGGGACUGAGACACGGCCCAAACUCCUACGGGAGGCAGCAGUGGGGAAUCUUGCACAAUGGAGGAAACUCUGAUGCACCGAUGCCGCGUGAGUGAAGAAGGCCCUUGGGUUGUAAAGCUCUUUCGUCGGGGAAGAAAAUGACUGUACCCGAAUAAGAAGGUCCGGCUAACUUCUUGCCACCAGCCGCGGUAAUACGAAGGGACCUACCGUAUUUCGGAAUUACUGGGCUUAAAGAGUUCGUAGGUGGUUGAAAAAGUUAGUGGUGGAAUCCCAGAGCUUAACUCUGGAACUGCCAUUAAAACUUUUCAGCUAGAGUAUGAUAGAGGAAAGCAGAAUUUCUAGUGUAGAGGUGAAAUUCGUAGAUAUUAGAGAGAAUACCAAUUGCGAAGGCAGCUUUCUGGAUCAUUACUGACACUGAGGAACGAA
rnacentral:rRNA from 1 species